rnacentral:lncRNA from 1 species
UGGGGACCGAUACGAGAAGCCAAAUUUUGUCUCUACCAAUUUGAAUCUGGCCGAAUCAGAAGUGAUUGUCAAAUUAAGUUGAUGCGAGUAAUUAUCGACUAAACACUGCCCAUAGGCCAACGACCAAAUCCAGGUAUUGAAAAAUUUAUUUAUUCAAUCGGUAAGUCGUCAAUGCGGGUUUUCAUUUUAAUUCACAUACUAUCUUGACGACUUCGUCUAAAAAGUUUAACGGCUUACAAUACGAAAUUAUGAAAAUCAAUUUAUUCGAUUGCACAAUUUUGGUUAUUGUGAUCAUAAAUCCAGUUUGAAUAUAGGAAAUAUUCUUUCACGGCCAUGCAUGACUAGAUCACAAAUUCAAUUUGGUUAAGCUGUAAUUCACGUGCAUUAUUUAUUGCAUGCCUCGUAAUUGUGAGCACAAGUUCUAAAUCACGUGCUGCUUAUGGCAUCAGAACUUACAAGGAUCAUGUGCUUAUCAUUUGAAUUUAAUUAAUCAUAUACUUGGCAUCCAAUUUUUGGAAUAAUAUGCUUAUCUUCAUUACUUGUUUGGCAUUUAUUUGGCGUUUAUGCUUGAGAAUAUAUCUUUGCUCUUUUCGCUUACGCCAUCUUCAUUUAGUUAUCUUGAUUGUGAAAUUUUUGGGUAAGUCACCACGAAAAUAAUUACAUAAUCACAAGAUUAAUGUUACGUCUACCAAGUAUCUGAUAAAAUGUCUAAAUCAGUUUUGUUAUUACUCUACUCACAUUUUUGAUGAGUUGCAGAUCAUAAAAAUGUGUUGUUGAGCUUACUAAAAGACACCCAAAGUAGGCUGGAGGCAAGGAUGACAAAUAGAAAGCAAAAUAGUAACAGAGACAUAAAUUAAAAAAAAAAAAAAGAGAAUAAAUUGACAGUGAAAGCAAGCUCAUCAGCUGCAGGGAAAGAUUGAAAGUAUAUCAUCAUAUUAAUAGAGAAUAACAGAGUUCAUAGUUUGAACGAAAAGCACUCACCAAAGGUCGGAAGCCACAUUUCAAAUGGUCGAUUACAGGUGCACUCGAACCAUGUCCUUAAUUACUUUUUAUUGUUCAGCUGUUGUAAUCUUUAAUACUGUUAUUGUUGCAAUUUGUCUGCUUUAUACAUGUUAAAACUAAUCAGAUCAGUUUGCAAAUGCGUCCCCUUUUUAGUUAAAAAAUUAUUCUUAGCUGAAUAUUCUUUUUAUCAUCACGCAUAUAUUUAGCAUCAAUGAUGCAUGCAUGAGCCCAAAUCUCUUGUCGAGACAUGUAACUGUAAAUUGAUAGUGCAUUAUGGAAUUGAUGAUCUCAAAAUGUUAGGAAUUCAUUCCACAACGAUCCUGGAAUAUCAGGAGUAAAUUCUACAGUCAUAUGGGAAUGUGAGGAAUUAGUACUUGAUUU